CCUACGGGAGGCAGCAGUGGGGAAUAUUGGACAAUGGGCGAAAGCCUGAUCCAGCCAUGCCGCGUGUGUGAAGAAGGCCUUCGGGUUGUAAAGCACUUUCAGUGGGGAAGAAAGCCUUGGGGCUAAUACCCUCGAGGAAGGAGCCUAUCGUGGCGCCAGCACCGGCUAACUCCGUGCCAGCAGCCGCGGUAAUACGGAGGGUGCGAGCGUUAAUCGGAAUUACUGGGCGUAAAGCGCGCGUAGGCGGUCUGAUAAGCCGGUUGUGAAAGCCCCGGGCUCAACCUGGGAACGGCAUCCGGAACUGUCAGGCUAGAGUGCAGGAGAGGAAGGUAGAAUUCCCGGUGUAGCGGUGAAAUGCGUAGAGAUCGGGAGGAAUACCAGUGGCGAAGGCGGCCUUCUGGACUGACACUGACGCUGAGGUGCGAAAGCGUGGGUAGCAAACAGGAUUAGAUACCCGGGUAGUC
rnacentral:rRNA from 1 species